UACGUAGGGGGCAAGCGUUGUCCGGAUUUAUUGGGCGUAAAGAGCGUGUAGGCGGCCAGGUAGGUGGGUUGUGAAAACUGGAGGCUCAACCUUCAGACGUCGACCCAAACCCCCUGGCUAGAGUCCGGAAGAGGAGAGUGGAAUUCCUGGUGUAGCGGUGAAAUGCGCAGAUAUCAGGAAGAACACCAAUGGCGAAGGCAGCUCUCUGGGACGGUACUGACACUGAGACGCGAAAGCGUGGGGAGCGAACAGG
rnacentral:rRNA from 1 species